rnacentral:rRNA from 1 species
UACGGAGGGGGCUAGCGUUGUUCGGAAUUACUGGGCGUAAAGCGCACGUAGGCGGCUUUGUAAGUUAGAGGUGAAAGCCCAGGGCUUAACCCUGGAAUUGCCUUUAAGACUGCAUCGCUAGAAUCGUGGAGAGGUGAGUGGAAUUCCGGGUGUAGAGGUGAAAUUCGUAGAUAUUCGGAAGAACACCAGUGGCGAAGGCGACUCACUGGACACGUAUUGACGCUGAGGUGCGAAAGCGUGGGGAGCAAACAGG